GCGGCCAUAGCUCAGUUGGUUAGAGCGUCGGACUGUGAAUCCGAAGGCCGAGGGUUCGAGCCCCUUUGGCCGCCCCA
rnacentral:tRNA from 1 species